rnacentral:rRNA from 1 species
UACGAAGGGGGCUAGCGUUGUUCGGAAUUACUGGGCGUAAAGCGCGCGCAGGCGGUCUUCCAAGUCAGUGGUGAAAGCCCGGAGCUCAACUCCGGAAUUGCCAUUGAAACUGUUGGACUUAAGGAUGAGAGAGGUGAGUGGAAUUCCCAGUGUAGAGGUGAAAUUCGUAGAUAUUGGGAAGAACACCGGUGGCGAAGGCGGCUCACUGGCUCAUUACUGACGCUCAGGCGCGAUAGCGUGGGGAUCAAACAGG